CCCCUUGUGGCUUACCUGGUAAAGAAUCCACCUGCAAUGUGGGAGACCUGGGUUCGAUCCCUGGUUUGGGAA
rnacentral:tRNA from 1 species